UCGGUCCCGGUUCACGUCCCGAUCACGAAAACGAUCUGGGCGACCCGGCGGCC
rnacentral:ncRNA from 1 species